rnacentral:rRNA from 1 species
AUGUCGACCGACGCCGCUGCCGCCGACAUCCCGGUGCCUCAGGUGGAGGCGACCGCCGACCCCGUCGUGGAGACCACGGCUGACGCCGCCGCCGGCGACGCGAAGGCGACCAAGGCUACCAAGGCCAAGGCCAAGGCCGCCAAGACCCCCAAGGCGAAGAAGCCCUCCGCCCCGAGGAAGCCCAAGGCCACCCCCGCCCACCCGACCUACGCUGAGAUGGUGACGGAGGCGAUCGCCGCGCUGAAGGAGAGGAACGGGUCGAGCACCGUCGCCAUCGCCAAGUACAUCGAGGACAAGCACAAGGCGCACCUCCCGGCCAACUUCCGCAAGUUCAUGCUGACGCAGAUCAAGAAGCUCGUGGCCGCCGGCAAGCUGACCAAGGUCAAGGCCUCCUACAAGCUCACCAAGGCCCCCGCAGCGCCCAAGAAGCCCAAGACGAAGGCGCCCGCCAAGAAGAAGCCGGCGGCGAAGAAGAAGGCGCCGGCCAAGAAGCCCGCCGCCAAGUCCCCAGCCAAGAAGAAGCCCGCCGCCAAGCCGAAGGCCAAGGCCCCAGCCAAGACCACCAAGGCCGCCGCCAAGCCCAAGGCCGCUGCCAAGGCCAAGGCUCCAGCCAAGACCACCAAGGCCGCCGCGAAGCCCAAGCCGGCCGCCAAGACGAAGGCGCCCGCCAAGCCUCGGGGCCGCCCCGCCAAGGCCGCCAAGACCUCCGCCAAGGACGCGCCAGGGAAGAAGGCGCCCGCCGCCGCCAGCACCCCCAAGAAGGCCGCCCCCAGGAAGCCGCCCACCAAGCGGUCGGCGCCGGUGAAGAAGGCCACGCCCGCCAAGAAGGCCCCCGCCAAGAAGGCCAAGAAGUAG